AUUGAACGCUGGCGGCAGGCCUAACACAUGCAAGUCGAGCGGCAGCGGGAAAGUAGCUUGCUACUUUUGCCGGCGAGCGGCGGACGGGUGAGUAAUGCCUGGGAAAUUGCCCAGUCGAGGGGGAUAACAGUUGGAAACGACUGCUAAUACCGCAUACGCCCUACGGGGAAAGGCAGGGACCGUUCGGGCCGUUGCGCGAUUGGAUAUGCCACGGUGGGAGUUAGCUAGUUGGUGAGGUAAUGGCUCACCAAGGCGACGAUCCCUAGCUGGUCUGAGAGGAUGAUCAGCCACACUGGAACUGAGACACGGUCCAGACUCCUACGGGAGGCAGCAGUGGGGAAGUAUUGCACAAUGGGGGAAACCCUGAUGCAGCCAUGCCGCGUGUGUGAAGAAGGCCUCGGUG
rnacentral:rRNA from 1 species